AUUGAACGCUGGCGGCAGGCCUAACACAUGCAAGUCGAGCGAGCGGCGGACGGGUGAGUAAUGUAUGGGGACUGCCCGAUAGAGGGGGAUAACUACUGGAAACGGUAGCUAAUACCGCAUACUAUCGGAUAACCCAUAUGGGAUUAGCUAGUAGGUGUGGUAAUGGCUCACCUAGGCGACGAUCCCUAGCUGGUCUGAGAGAAUGAUCAGCCACACGGGGACUGAGACACGGACCAGACGCCUAAGGAGGCAGCAGUGGGGAAUAUGGGACAAUAGGCGCAAGCAUGAUGCAGCCAUGCAGCGUGUAUGAAGAAGGCCCUAGGGUUGUAAAGUACUUUCAGUCGGGAGGCGUUACCGACAGAAGAAGCACCGGCUAACUACGUGCCAGCAGCCGCGGUAAUAC
rnacentral:rRNA from 1 species